rnacentral:rRNA from 1 species
GCGGUUAUACUUGUUCUUCAACUCAAAAGGUUUAAAUAAAAUGCACUGAAUAACUUUGUCUAAUAAUAAAAUUGAUAGUUUAAUUUUAGAAAUUAUUGUUUAAAUUGGAUUAGCACCCAAGUAAGAAAAUUAAUUGAUUAAGGUAACACCUAAACUAAAUGGCCGUAUUAUUUGUAAAGCAGAGAAACUUGAAAUUUAGAAAAUCCACUCUAUUAUUAAUCUUAUAAAUGUUUAAGUAUGGCUGUCUAAAAAUAAAUUUUUAUUUAGAUUUAUAGUCAAGCAACAUUUAACUUAUAAGAAGAUUUUGAGUUGCAAUAAACAAAUUACUACCGGUUAAAAAAAGUCAGGAUUUGCAAGUAAAAUAAUUUUGAAAUAAGUUUAAGUACA